CCUACGGGUGGCAGCAGUGAGGAAUAUUGGUCAAUGGACGAGAGUCUGAACCAGCCAAGUAGCGUGAAGGAUGACUGCCCUAUGGGUUGUAAACUUCUUUUAUAAAGGAAUAAAACGAGGCACGUGUGCCUUUUUGCAUGUACUUUAUGAAUAAGGAUCGGCUAACUCCGUGCCAGCAGCCGCGGUAAUACGGAGGAUCCGAGCGUUAUCCGGAUUUAUUGGGUUUAAAGGGAGCGUAGGUGGGUUGUUAAGUCAGUUGUGAAAGUUUGGGGCUCAACCGUAAAAUUGCAGUUGAUACUGGCAGUCUUGAGUAGAGGAGAAGUAGGCGGAAUUCGCGGUGUAGCGGUGAAAUGCAUAGAUAGCACGAAGAACCCCGAUUGCGAAGGCAGCUUAAUAA
rnacentral:rRNA from 1 species